ensembl:lncRNA
CAACACUACAGCUUGUAGUACACUGUGUUACAAACAUCUAUGCUAUAACAAAUAUAAUUAGAUAAGCAUGCAUAUGUCUGAAGCUGGCCUGAGCUGUAACGAGCUGUGAAGAGGCGUGUGCUGCAGUUGCCAGAGGAGUGAUGGGGGCUUUCAAGGGUGUGUGAUGGGGGUGCCACCACAGCCACGCAGCUGCCAGAGGGCAGUGGAAACGUGGAGGAGGAAAAUUAAGCUGUGAACUGGAAUUCCAUCAGGCUGUCUGCCGUGAAGCCCUGCGGCUUUAGCAAACAGGCAGCAGUGGUCAGAAAUGACACUCAAAAGAGGGAAGUCACUUCCACUGCAAAAAAGAAGGCAACAGAAGCGCGAUGCAUUUGUCAUUAAUAUGAGUGGCGGCACUGAAAUUAGAAAUAAAACGUGGAACUGUGAAAGACAAAGAACUGUCUGCAUUAAUAACAAGUACCUCCACUUGGAAAUUAUUUACAUGAAACAUUGUUCUCACAUCACUGCUACUGACAGCGGCUCCGGACUGGGUGAGAGAAGGACACCGUGAUGAAUUUACCCAUACCUACCUUACUGUGCUGCGUGAGACGAGGAGAGCUCAAAGACUUCAGAGAAGUUUGAAACCUUAAUCCCUGAAUAAUGCCUCCACCUGCCUCCUGGUUUUCUUUGGGGACUUUCCAGCGCUGGCCAGUCCUGACCCUAUCUGACUUCAGGGACAAUCCCAGUGUCUUGGGCUCCGAAAAAAGAGUGAAACAGUGACUGGAAAUGGUGCAGAGCUCAAGGGAGAAGAAUCUCCAGGAACAGAUUUUGACCUCAAGACUAAGGCACGUUACGUGUGUGAAGGCCCAGCACCGCUGCUACGAUCCACAGCACUGCUCCCACAUACUGCGUGAGUGAGGCCCUGCUGAUGUAAUAGUGGCCCGCAUAUGUCUCAUAUUAAUGGUAUUUUCCUAAUAGUAAUAGCAUUAAAGCCUGCCUACCUGGCUAUUGAGUUACCUUAUUUAGGGUAAUUUGCCCAAAAGCCUAUCCUGGAGCAUGUGAACAACCGUAUCAUUUUAUAACACUUAGCUUUAAGAUAUCAGAAAUCAAAGCAGGCAGACAGUCUGAUUCCAGAACUAGUAGUUUUCCAUUUAAAAAAACAAAAACUGUUGUGUUUCUUGAAUAAUUUAUUAUCUGGGUUUCUGUUGCAUUUUCCACAUGGAAUUGAUGAAGAAAAAUUUUUUCUAAAGAAAGUUCGGAUGAGUGAAAAUUCACACAUGGAAAACAAAUGAGCAUCGGGAAGCACUCCUCAUAGCUAAUGGCUACUUGGUCUGGUGCCAGAAUUCAUACAGAUCCUUAAAAUCAAGUAAAUUAUGCCCGCAGUGAUAGCUCCCUUUUGCUGGAGUCCCACAACAAGCACCAAAUGGUGGAGCGGCACAGAACUGCCAAAUUCCAUUUUUCACCUCCCAGUUCCUUUCAGCUGAGCAGCCUCAUUCGCAGCAG